GACGAACCGUCCUAACGUUAUUCGGAUUCACUGGGCUUAAAGGGCGCGUAGGCGGUUUACCAAGUCCGGGGUGAAAUCUUUCGGCCUAACCGGAAAAGGGCCUUGGAUACUGGGGGACUCGAGGGGGGUAGGGGCAAGCGGAACUUCCGGUGGAGCGGUGAAAUGCGCAGAUAUCAGGAGGAACACCGGUGGCGAAGGCGGUUCUCUGGGCAUUACCUGACGCUGAGGAGCGAAAGUGUGGGGAGCGAACAGG
rnacentral:rRNA from 1 species